rnacentral:rRNA from 1 species
AUCGAACGCUGGCGGCAUGCCUUACACAUGCAAGUCGAACGUCAACACGGGCACUUGCAACUAGUGUCGCGUGCCGAACAGGUGAGCAAUACAUCUCUACCUGUCCUGCUGUGGUGGCUAGCCCGGCGACAGCCGGAUUAUUAACGCAUACGAUCUACGGGUGAAUGCGUGGUUCCUUCGAGCCUCCCUCUAUACGUUCCUCCGUUGGCUGAUUAGCUUGUUGGUGGGGUAAAGGCCUACCAAGGAAACGAUCAGUAGCUGUUCUGAGAGUACGACAAGCAAAACUGGGAUUGAGACACGGCCCAGACUCCUACGGGAGGCAGCAGUGGGGAAUUUUGGAAAAUGGGGGAAAGCCUGAUCAAGAAAUGCCGCGUGUGUGAAGAAGGCCUUCGGGUGGUAAAGCACUUUUGUCCGGAAAGAAAUCCUUGGCUCUAAUACAGUCGGGGGAUGACGGUACCGGAAGAAUAAGCACCGGCUAACUACGUG